rnacentral:misc_RNA from 1 species
GUGAAUCAUCGAAUCUUUGAACGCACAUUGCGCCCGCCAGUACUCUGGCGGGCAUGCCUGUCCGAGCGUCAUUUCAACCCUCGAGCCCCCCCCGGGGGACCGGCGUUGGGGGCCGGCCUCCGCCUCUCGCAGGCGGUCGCCGCCCCCGAAAUACAGUGGCGGUCUCGCCGCAGCCUCCCCUGCGCAGUAGCUUGCACGCUCGCACCGGAGAGCGGCGCGUCCACGCCGUUAAACCCCCCACCCACGCAAGGUUGACCUCGGAUCAGGUAGGAAUACCCGCUGAACUUAAGCAUAUCAAUAAGCGGAGGA